rnacentral:rRNA from 1 species
AACCAGCACCUCAAGUGGUCAGGAUGAUUAUUGGGCCUAAAGCAUCCGUAGCCCGUUUUGUAAGUUUUCGGUUAAAUCCAUGCGCUUAACGUAUGGGCUGCCGGGAAUACUGCAUAACUAGGAAGUGGGAGAGGUAGACGGUACUCGGUAGGAAGGGGUAAAAUCCUUUGAUCUAUUGAUGACCACCUGUGGCGAAGGCGGUCUACCAGAACACGUUCGACGGUGAGGGAUGAAAGCUGGGGGAGCAAACCGGAUUAGAACCGUACCGUC